AUCCAGUUACCUCACAAUCACAAGUCGUACUGCAGUGACUGCAAGUCCUGUGUGUCUCAUUCAACAGGUGUCACAGAACAAAGAAGGAGGUGGGUGCUGGUAGACCUGAGGGGACCAAGGACUCAAACUGAAGGUUAAAUGCUGUAAGAUGGGAGCAGAGAUUUAUAUGCCUGGCAGACGAAAAGGGAUAAUAUCUACAGGGAAAAGCUGGAGGCAGUUCUCCCUGGGAGCCAGGUCAGAGUUCCUGCUAAAGUGACUUUGGCCUCUGUAGCUCUGGUGGCCUUGAACUAUACAGCACACUUCCAUACACAACCUCUGUUUAUCCAAAGCAGUCCUGAUUCUUGAUCAAGAAAAAUACCCAGGUUCUUGGGCUUCACCGUUCUCUUCUGCCUUCUCUUCCUCCACCUUUCCAGGGAAGGAAGAGUGUUCCAAGAAGAUGGAACAGCACAUGUGAGGACCAUGAAGAAAGGGAGGCUGGCCUUCUAACAGUAAUGAUCUGGAAACAACCAUGGCAAUUACCCCGGAGGCAGAUGUUUGUGUGUAUGGAGUCCGAGGAUGCUGAGUCAUCAGAGUUACACCAAGCAAAUGAGCAGUUCUCUGGAGAAGGACAGACAUUCACCGUUAGCCCGAGGCUGGUGAGUUCAGCACCAGGUGAAGGCUGCUUAUUGCUACGAAUGCCUGGCCUGAACCUUCGUCAAUGGCCUGAACCUUCCCUUGGCUGUUGAACCAUAUUCACACUCUUUCUUGAUCACACCCUGGAAUAGUGAUGUGAAGUGUAAACAGCAGGUGUCCAAUAAAUUUGUGUUCAUAAACUGGCUGAGACCUGACCCCUGGAUUACUAACACCCCCGACAGAGAAAGUAGGGAAAGAUCCAAGUCCUCACACAGAUAACUCUAGCUUCAGCUGAGAAUUUAUGAACUUGAAAAGAGAAAACAUAAAUUCAUUAUUUAGAUCAUAAAGGAAGGACUUCAAGUUGAGUCCAACCCAUGAUGUGGAACUUCCAUUAACCGGAGUGUGCACCCUGGGGUCUCUCACCCCCAACCAAGGACAGAAAAUAUUGUGCACCUGGACACUGCAGAAAUAGAGGCAGAUAUCAGGGCCCAAGAAAAAUGUGGGGAAAGACUUCCAGAAUAAGCAGAUUAAGACAGUCAAAUUAUAAAACAGCUGUGUGUAGUAAUACCCCAAAAAGGACUGAAAAGUGAAAAGAAAGAAACGUGAGGGUGGAAUAGACAGCAUCUCAUGUGUCUCUGAAAGCGUCUCUUCCAGCCCCAUUAAUUCCACCACUUCCUCACUUGUCUCUGCUUCCUGCCUUCCCGCUUCCAUCCACUCCCCUCCACACUGGCCAGUGACUCUCCUCCUGUCCUCUCUCCUCUUAAGGCCUUCAGUGUAAAAGCCCACAUCCUUCACAGGACACUCAGAAGCUUCCCAAACUAGCCCCGGCCUCUCUCCAGCCACAUCUGUCACUCCGCCUCCCUCCCUCUAUUCUUUGUUCAUGCAACUAUUGCACGUUCCUUUAACUGCUCCCUGCUCUUCUGGCUUCCAGGCCUGAAAUACCCUCAGCAAACCUUUCAGGAGCUCACCAACCCUGCCAGGUCCAUUCAAAUCUGGGUCCCGUCUCCUCAGGCUGAGUCCAUCCAUCCUUCCUUGACGCUUCCCCAAUAAUUCCCACUCUCCAUGUGCCACUGCACUCUAAUUACUUAUCUAGUUUAUUCGUACUUUAAUUUUCUCUAGAGUAUGAACUCCUCAAAGCCACAGGCAGAGGUUUAUUCUUUUCUUUAAGUUCUCGGUGCCUCAUUUGGUACCUGUUACUUAAUAGGUCCUCAAUACAUGGAGUUGGACAAAUGAAUUAAGUAAUCAGUUAAGCCACUUAGAUCUCUAGGCCUGAUGUCCAGCUUGCACUCAGGUAAUUCUCUCAUGCAUUCUCUACGUGCUGCUGCUCUGAGAAUCUGUGCUCAUUGCUAUGUCCAACUCACACCACUGCCUCACAGUUCCAUGUAUUCCAUAUAUUCACGGUGACUUCUGUGCAUAAUCUGUACUCAUGUUGUAGGAAGUAAGCUUCCCAAAGCACCAAGCAGUGAAUAUGGGAUGGCUAAUAAAUACUAUUUAAUUAUGUCAGCAAUUUGUCCUAUUUUCCUGCCAUUCAGUUCUGUGCUUUGAAAAAAGAGGGACUCACACACAGGGUCCAAGGCUGGUCUGAAUUCCAGGGAAAUCCACUUGUUAGUGGGGUCGGGACCUGCAUGCACUUGCUGCCUUCCUUCGGUUAUUCUCCAUCUGCUGCCAGAUCAUGGCCCCCAGAUACACAAGG